GUGUCAGCCGCCGUGGUAAUACGUAGGGUGCAAGCGUUGUCCGGAAUUAUUGGGCGUAAAGAGCUCGUAGGCGGUUUGUCGCGUCUGCUGUGAAAAUCCGAGGCUCAACCUCGGACUUGCAGUGGGUACGGGCAGACUAGAGUGCAGUAGGGGAGAAGGGAAUUCCUGGUGUAGCGGUGGAAUGCGCAGAUAUCAGGAGGAACACCAAUGGCGAAGGCACUUCUCUGGGCUGUAACUGACGCUGAGGAGCGAAAGCGUGGGGAGCGAACAGGAUUAGAAACCCCAGUAGUCC
rnacentral:rRNA from 1 species